rnacentral:rRNA from 1 species
CCUACGGGAGGCAGCAGUGGGGAAUUUUGGACAAUGGGCGCAAGCCUGAUCCAGCAAUGCCGCGUGCAGGAUGAAGGCCUUCGGGUUGUAAACUGCUUUUGUACGGAACGAAACGGUGAGCUCUAAUACAGUUUGCUAAUGACGGUACCGUAAGAAUAAGCACCGGCUAACUACGUGCCAGCAGCCGCGGUAAUACGUAGGGUGCGAGCGUUAAUCGGAAUUACUGGGCGUAAAGCGUGCGCAGGCGGUGAUGUAAGACAGAUGUGAAAUGCCCGGGCUCAACCUGGGACCUGCAUUUGUGACUGCAUCGCUAGAGUACGGUAGAGGGGGAUGGAAUUCCGCGUGUAGCAGUGAAAUGCGUAGAUAUGCGGAGGAACACCGAUGGCGAAGGCAAUCCCCUGGACCUGUACUGACGCUCAUGCACGAAAGCGUGGGGAGCAAACAGGAUUAGAUACCCUGGUAGUCCACGCCCUAAACGAUGUCAACUGGUUGUUGGGUCUUCACUGACUCAGUAACGAAGCUAACGCGUGAAGUUGACCGCCUGGGGAGUACGGCCGCAGGUUGAAACUCAAGGAUUGACGG